UACGGGAGGCAGCAGUGGGGAAUAUUGGACAAUGGGCGAAAGCCUGAUCCAGCCAUGCCGCAUGAGUGAAGAAGGCCUUCGGGUUGUAAAGCUCUUUUAGUGAGAAAGAUAAUGACGGUACUCACAGAAGAAGUCCUGGCUAACUCCGUGCCAGCAGCCGCGGUAAUACGGAGAGGGCUAGCGUUAUUCGGAAUUAUUGGGCGUAAAGAGCGCGUAGGCUGAUUUAGUAAGUUAAAAGUGAAAUCCCAAAGCUUAACUUUGGAAUUGCUUUUUAAAACUGCUAGUCUAGAGAUUGAAAGAGGAUAGAGGAAUUCCUAGUGUAGAGGUGAAAUUCGUAAAUAUUAGGAGGAACACCAGUGGCGAAGGCGUCUAUCUGGUUCAAAUCUGACGCUGAGGCGCGAAGGGCGUGGGGAGCAAACGAGGGAUUAGAUACC
rnacentral:rRNA from 1 species